UAGAGUUUGAUCCUGGCUCAGGACGAACGCUGGCGGCGUGCCUAAAAUAUGCAAGUCGAAUGUCGAUUUAUCGGCAUGGCGAACGGGUGAGUAACGCGUAGGAAUCUACCUUAGAGUCUCGGAUAACCCCUCGAAAGGGGGAAUAAUACGAGAUGGUCCCCGCACCAUACGGUGCAGGGUAAAGAUUUAUCGCUCUAAGAUGAGCCUGCGUCCUAUCAGCUUGUUGGUAAGGUAAAAGCUUACCAAGGCUAUGACGGGUAGCUGGUCUGAGAGGAUGAUCAGCCUCAAUGGUACUGCGACACGGACCAUACUCCUACGGGAGGCAGCAACUGGGAAUAUUCCGCAAUGGGCGAAAGCCUGACGGAGCGACGCCGCGUGCAGGAAGACGCUUUUCGGAGUGUAAACUGCUUUUAUCUUGGAAAAAUAUGAUGGUACAAGAUGAAUAAGGACCUGCUAACUACGUGCCAGCAGCAGCGGUGAUACGUGGGGUCCAAGCGUUGUCCGGAAUUACUGGGCGUAAAGAGCUCGUAGGCGGUUUGGUAAGUCUUGUGUUAAAGCCUUGGGCUUAACUCAAGAUCGGCAUAAGAUACUGCCAAACUAGAGUCAACUAGAGGCAAGUGGAAUUCCUGGUGUAGCAGUGAAAUGCGUUGAUAUCAGGAGGAACACCGAUGGCGAAGGCAGCUUGCUAGGGUUGUACUGACGCUGAGGAGCGAAAGCGUGGGUAGCGAAAGGGAUUAGAUACCCCUGUAGUCCACGCCGUAAACUAUGCAAACUAGGCAUUGGGAGCAUCGACCCUCUUUGUGCCGAAGCUAACGCGUUAAGUUUGCCGCCUGGGAAGUACGACCGCAAGGUUAAAACUCAAAGGAAUUGGCGGGGACUCGCACAAGCGGUGGAACAUGAGGUUUAAUUCGACAAUAAGCGAAGAACCUUACCAGGACUUGACAUCUCUGGAACCUGCUAGAAAUAUCGGGGUGCCUUUUAGGAGCCAGAUGACAGGUGCUGCACGGUUGUCGUCAGCUCGUGUCGUGAGAUUUUCGGUUAAGUCCGAUAACGAGCGCAACCCCUGUGAUGUGUUACUUAUGUCACAUCAGACUGCCCGGGUUAACCGGGAGGAAGGUGGGGAUGACGUCAAAUCAGCGUGGCUCUUACGUCCUGGGCGACACUCAUGUUACAAUGGCAGCUACAGAGGGUUGCGAAGUCGCAAGACCUAGCUAAUCCCUAAAAGUUGUCUCAGUUCGGAUUGGAGGCUGCAACUCGCCUCCAUGAAGCCGGAAUCGCUAGUAACCGUGGGUCAGCCAUACCACGGUGAAUACGUUCCCGAGUCUUGCACACACCGCCCGUCACGCGAGCCGAGUCAACAGGACCCGAAUCCCGAUUAUUCGGGAGACGGUCAGGUUGGUAAGGAGCGCGAAGUCGUAACAAGGUAACC
rnacentral:rRNA from 1 species